ensembl:lncRNA
CACAGGUGUAGCCAGCCAGUAUACCAUGUUGAAAUACACAGGUGUGGCCAGCCAGUAUACCAUGUUGAAAUACACAGGUGUAUCCAGCCAGUAUACUGUAUACCACGUUGAAAUACACAGGUGUGCCCAGCCAGUGUACCACGUUGAAAUACACAGGUGUAGCCAGCCAGUGUACCACGUUGAAAUACACAGGUGUAUCCAGCCAGUAUACCACGUUGAAAUACACAGGUGUAGCCAGCCAGUAUACUGUAUACCACGUUGAAAUACACAGUCGUAUCCAGCCAGUGUACAGUAUACCAUGUUGAAAUACACAGGUGUAGCCAGCCAGUAUACCACGUUGAAAUACACAGGCGUAUCCAGCCAGUAUACUGUAUACCAUGUUGAAAUACACAGGCGUAUCCAGCCAGUAUACUGUAUACCAUGUUGAAAUACACAGGCGUAUCCAGCCAGUAUACUGUAUACCAUGUUGAAAUACACAGGUGUAUCCAGCCAGUAUACUGUAUACCACGUUGAAAUACACAGGUGUAGUACUAUUCUAGGAUUUGUUCAUUACCAAGUUGGAACAUAUUUUUAUUGCAUAUUAUAAUGCUUGUUGUUGUUGUUGUUGUUGUAUAUCCUCUGCCUUGACGAUGGAAGUAUCCGGUUGAUCCGAUUCGAGGUGACGCUGGCGUCAUGAAAUAAAAGCACAUAUAUAUACUUUAUGAAAUAAUGUUUACACUCCUGUUGUUUAUUAAAAAUAAAAUUUAAAAAGGCAUUGUUAAUUCAAAUGUCUGUAUUUCAAUAUACUUAUUUUAUACCGUUUUAUAAGUGACAUAUAUAUAUAUAUAUUGUGUAUGAAAAGCCUUGUAAUUGUUGUAAUCACUUGAUGUGAUUUUUGUGCAUUUGACAUCAGUGUCUCGUUGUAUUUUUUUCAAUAUUAAAAGGACCCAGAGCAGUCAAAAAAAAAC